rnacentral:rRNA from 1 species
UAUCAAUAAGCGGAGGAAAAGAAACUAACAAGGAUUCCCCUAGUAACUGCGAGUGAAGCGGGAAAAGCUCAAAUUUAAAAUCUGGCGGUCUUUGGCCGUCCGAGUUGUAGUCUGGAGAAGUGCUUUCCGCGCUGGACCGUGUAUAAGUCUCUUGGAACAGAGCGUCAUAGAGGGUGAGAAUCCCGUCUUUGACACGGACUACCAGUGCUUUGUGAUGCGCUCUCAAAGAGUCGAGUUGUUUGGGAAUGCAGCUCAAAAUGGGUGGUAAAUUCCAUCUAAAGCUAAAUAUUGGCGAGAGACCGAUAGCGAACAAGUACCGUGAGGGAAAGAUGAAAAGCACUUUGGAAAGAGAGUUAAACAGUACGUGAAAUUGCUGAAAGGGAAACGCUUGAAGUCAGUCGCGUCUGCCGGAACUCAGCCUUGCUUUUGCUUGGUGCACUUUCCGGUUGACGGGCCAGCAUCGAUUUUGACCGACGGAAAAGGGCUGGGGAAAUGUGGCACCCUCGGGUGUGUUAUAGUCUCUAGUCGCAUACGCCGGUUGGGAUCGAGGAUCGCAGCGCGCCGCAAGGCAGGGGUUCGCCCACUUUCGCGCUUAGGAUGCUGGCAUAAUGGCUUUAAACGACCCGUCUUGAAACACGGACCAAGGAGUCUAACAUGCCUGCGAGUGUUUGGGUGGAAAACCCGAGCGCGUAAUGAAAGUGAAAGUUGAGACCUCUGUCGUGGAGGGCAUCGACGCCCGGACCUGACGUUCUCUGACGGAUCCGCGGUAGAGCAUGUAUGUUGGGACCCGAAAGAUGGUGAACUAUGCCUGAAUAGGGUGAAGCCAGAGGAAACUCUGGUGGAGGCUCGUAGCGAUUCUGACGUGCAAAUCGAUCGUCAAAUUUGGGUAUAGGGGCGAAAGACUAAUCGAACCAUCUAGUAGCUGGUUCCUGC